GGGGAGGUGGCGGAACGUCAUCGCGCCGGGUCGCAAGCCCGGAACAUGUAGGUUAAAGUCCUACCCUCCCCACCA
rnacentral:tRNA from 1 species